rnacentral:rRNA from 1 species
CCGACCUGCACGAAUGGCGUAAUGAUGGCCAGGCUGUCUCCACCCGAGACUCAGUGAAAUUGAACUCGCUGUGAAGAUGCAGUGUACCCGCGGCAAGACGGAAAGACCCCGUGAACCUUUACUAUAGCUUGACACUGAACAUUGAGCCUUGAUGUGUAGGAUAGGUGGGAGGCUUUGAAGUGUGGACGCCAGUCUGCAUGGAGCCGACCUUGAAAUACCACCCUUUAAUGUUUGAUGUUCUAACGUGGACCCGUAAUCCGGGUUGCGGACAGUGUCUGGUGGGUAGUUUGACUGGGGCGGUCUCCUCCUAAAGAGUAACGGAGGAGCACGAAGGUUGGCUAAUCCUGGUCGGACAUCAGGAGGUUAGUGCAAUGGCAUAAGCCAGCUUGACUGCGAGCGUGACGGCGCGAGCAGGUGCGAAAGCAGGUCAUAGUGAUCCGGUGGUUCUGAAUGGAAGGGCCAUCGCUCAACGGAUAAAAGGUACUCCGGGGAUAACAGGCUGAUACCGCCCAAGAGUUCAUAUCGACGGCGGUGUUUGGCACCUCGAUGUCGGCUCAUCACAUCCUGGGGCUGAAGUAGGUCCCAAGGGUAUGGCUGUUCGCCAUUUAAAGUGGUACGCGAGCUGGGUUUAGAACGUCGUGAGACAGUUCGGUCCCUAUCUGCCGUGGGCGCUGGAGAACUGAGGGGGGCUGCUCCUAGUACGAGAGGACCGGAGUGGACGCAUCACUGGUGUUCGGGUUGUCAUGCCAAUGGCACUGCCCGGUAGCUAAAUGCGGAAGAGAUAAGUGCUGAAAGCAUCUAAGCACGAAACUUGCCCCGAGAUGAGU